AUUUUUAUAGUAUAUUAUAAUACUUAAUAUUUUCAUUAUUAAAAUGUCCCCAAGGCCUAAAAAUA
rnacentral:tRNA from 1 species